GUCAUAACUGUAUGCUUACAUUUCUAUCUCCUGUGCUAGGAUAAAAGCUUCUCAAGAUGAGGUUGUUUUCUCAAGCUCAGGUUCUCAAAGUUUCAUUUCCUCUGUAGUUAGUCUCAAAAAAACCACAACGUAUUUGGUAUUUAGUACAGUUUUGGAAAAGAAGUUUAUCCCACAAAAUAUCAAGUGAUCUUGAACUAAAAGUCCAGACUAUGUUCUUCCAUGUGACAUCAAGUAAACAGCCUCUAAUGAUUUCUUGCUAAGGGCUAGAAUAUCCAUCAGUAGGUUGCCCUGAAGAAACCACCUUUCCAGCUGCAUUGAGCCAGAACUGCACCAACUUCUCUAACCUGUGAGAGGAGACACCUCUGCAGUCCUGAACUCUGUACAAAUCACGAUAAUAAUCACUAAGAAGUCUUUAAGAACAGAGACUCUACUGAAUUCAUAUUGAGACUUGCCAUCACUAUCAGAACAAUGCUAUAUAUGACAGAGACCCCUGGCUGCUUUUGAUAAAUGAAAUCAGUGAAUGGGAAAAAGAUACAUCUCAUCUAAGGAACUCACAAGAGGCUUAUCCUAUGAAAAAUGGGUUGCAGAUAAACAAUUCCUCAUGAGGGAAACCUUGUCAAUAAUGGUAAGAAGCAGCAUGGCCUACUGGACAGGAAGAUGAGAAGAAAGAACUCAUUUUUAAAAGGACAAGCCACCAUUUUCCUUGGACGUUCAAAGAAAUGUGUGGUCCUCAAAAGCUUGGAAAUUACUGCAUUAAUUUCUGUUCAUCAAAAGAUACCUUAAAUAAGCAGAAAAGCUGGAAUACAAACCAGGAGAAGAAAUUAUAAUUGUCAUCAAUAUGUGUUCUCAACAGAAUGGAUGACCCCCCACCUACACUGGUGACAGCAUAUCUUCUUUACCCAGUCUACUUCUGCAAAUGUUAACCUCUUCCAGAAACAUUUAUGAACACAUCUAGAAAUUAUGGUGUACUGGCACUCUGGGCAUCCCUUAGCCCACUCAAGGUGACACAUCAAAUUAGCCAUAACAGUCCAGAAAUAAGAGGAGUAGAAACCUUAGUGUUUUUUUUUUUAACUUGCUAUUUAAAUGUUUAUAAUGCAGGCAACAGAUUAAUAUCUUAAAAAUUCAGUCUAAUUACAUGUAGUCACAGAUAACUGAAUACAUUUAGAAAUGACAGUGAAAAGUAGUAGUACAAGAAAA